ACUCUCUGGUUUCUCUUCAAUACGCUCAAGCCUUUCGCCUUUUACUAAAGACUUCCGUGGAGAGGAACAUUAUGAGUAUCAACCAAUUUUUGUAGCCCCGCUCACGUGGGGC